GACGAACGCUGGCGGCGCGCCUAACACAUGCAAGUCGAGCGAAGCGGCGGACGGGUGAGUAACACGUGAGUAACCUGCCUUUUACACAGGGAUAGUCGCUGGAAACCGGGAUUAAAACCUGAUGGGAAAAGAUGGACUCGCGUCCCAUUAGCUAGUCGGUGAGGUAACGGCCCACCAGGGCAACGAUGGGUAGCCGGCCUGAGAGAGUGAACGGAGACGCUGAAACUGGGAAACGGUGGAGACUCUGCGGGAUGGAGGAGUGGGUAAUAUUGCAAAGUGGGGGAAACCAUGAUGGCCCGACGCCGGGAGAGCGAAGAAGGCCGUGGGGUAGUGAAGCUCUUUUAUAUGCGAAGCGGUACCAGAAGAAGAAGCCCCGGCUAACUACGUGCCAGCAGCCGCGGUAAUAC
rnacentral:rRNA from 1 species